AAAAGAGCGCAGGGUGGAUGCCUUGGCACUAAGAGCCGAAGAAAGACGUGAUAAGCUGCGAAAAGCUGCGGGGAGAUGCAAAUAAUCCUUGAUCCGCAGAUGUCUGAAUGGGGAAACCCGGUACGAAGAACUCGUAUCAUCCAUACGCCAAUCCAUAACGUAUGGAGGGGAACCCGGUGAACUGAAACAUCUAAGUAGCCGGAGGAAGAGAAAGAAACAUCGAUUUUGUUAGUAGCGGCGAGCGAAAGCGAAAGAGGCCAAACCGGAGUGCGUGCACUCCGGGGUUCGGACCGCAUUUAAGAUUCAGUGAUUCUAGCAGAAAGGUUUGGGAAAGCCUGCCGGAGAGGGUGAAAGCCCCGUAAGCGAAAGGAAAGCUGACUGAGCGGGAUCCAGAGUACAUCGAGACACGAGAAACCUUGAUGGAAAGAGCGGGGACCACCCCGUAAGCCUAAAUACUACUUAGUGACCGAUAGCGCAUAGUACUGUGAAGGAAAGGUGAAAAGGACCCCGGGAGGGGAGUGAAAGAGAACCUGAAACCCUGUGUUUACAAGCUGUGGAAGUUCUUUAAAUGAACAACCGCGUACUUUUUGUAGAACGGUCCGGCGAGUUGCGGAUACUGGCAAGGUUAAGCACUUAAGGUGCGGAGCCGAAGGGAUACCAAGUCUUAACAGGGCGUUAAGUCAGUAUACGCAGACCCGAAACCGGGUGAUCUAUCCAUGUCCAGGUUGAAGUUGUCGUAAAAGACAAUGGAGGACCGAAGCCACAUCCGUUGAAAAGGGUGGGCAUGAGGUGUGGAUAGGGGAGAAAUUCCAAUCGAACCCGGAGAUAGCUGGUUCUCCUCGAAAUAGCUUUAGGGCUAGCCUCGAUUUAGUCUUAUGGAGGUAGAGCACUGAAUUUCCGCGGGGGCGUCAAAGCUUACCAAAGAAUAUCAAACUCCGAAUGCCAUGUAGAUGAUGAUCGGGAGUCAGACUGCACGAGAUAAGUUGGGCAGUCAAAAGGGAAAGAGCCCAGACCACCGGCUAAGGUCCCAAAGUGCGUGUUAAGUGGAAAAGGAUGUGGGAAUUCGAAGACAACUAGGAUGUUGGCUCAGAAGCAGCCAUACAUUCAAAGAGUGCGUAACAGCUCACUAGUCGAGAGUUCCUGCGCCGAAAAUGUCCGGGGCUGAAACACGACACCGAAGCCGUGGACUCGCAAUGCGAGUGGUAGAGGAGCAUUCUUAAAACCGACGAAGCUGUACCGAAAGGAGCAGUGGAGGGAUAAGAAGAGAGAAUGCCGGAAUGAGUAGCGAGAGAAAGGUGGGAAUCCUUUCGGCCGAAUAUCUAAGGUUUCCAGAGUAAAGCUGAUCUGCUCUGGGUAAGUCGGGGCCUAAGCACAGGUCGCAAGACGUAAGCGAUGGAUAACAGGUUUAGAUUCCUGUACCACGCAUUAUCAGAACUGUAGGGACGCAUGUGGAAAGCACGAGCCGGGAAUGGAAAGACCGGUACAAGCGGGGUAGGUGUACGAUAGGCAAAUCCGUCGUAUAAUCCGAAGACGUGAUGUGGAGCGAAAUAAAGUAGCGAAGCGUGUGAGCCAUGUGCCGAGAAAAGCUGCUAUUGUGUAAUGCGUGCCCGUACCGUAAACCGACACAGGUGGAUGAGGAGAGAAUCCUAAGGCCGGCGGAAGAAGCAUUGUUAAGGAAUUCGGCAAAAUGACCCCGUAACUUCGGGAGAAGGGGUGCCUGCGAGAGCAGGCCGCAGAGAAUAGGCUCAAGCAACUGUUUAGCAAAAACACAGGUCUAUGCGAAACCGAAAGGUGAAGUAUAUGGGCUGACGCCUGCCCGGUGCUGGAAGGUUAAGAGGAGAGGUUAGCUUCGGCGAAGCUUUGAAUUUAAGCCCCAGUAAACGGCGGCCGUAACUAUAACGGUCCUAAGGGAGCGAAAUUCCUUGUCGGGUAAGUUCCGACCCGAACGAAAGGCGUAAUGAUUUGAGCACUGUCUCGACAAUGCAUCCGGUGAAAUUGAAGUACCAGUGAAGAUGCUGGUUCCCCGCGCCAGGACGGAAAGACCCCAUGGAGCUUUACUCCAGUUUGAUACCGGGAUUCGGUACUGCAUGUACAGGAUAGGUGGGAGACGAAGAAGGAUGGACGCCAGUCUGUCCGGAGUCGCUGUUGGGAUACCACCCCUGUAGUACUGGGUUUCUAACCAGUCACCGUGAACCGGUNNNNNNNNNNAGCGAAGCUUUGAAUUUAAGCCCCAGUAAACGGCGGCCGUAACUAUAACGGUCCUAAGGUAGCGAAAUUCCUUGUCGGGUAAGUUCCGACCCGCACGAAAGGCGUAAUGAUUUGAGCACUGUCUCGACAAUGCAUCCGGUGAAAUUGAAGUACCAGUGAAGAUGCUGGUUACCCGCGCCAGGACGGAAAGACCCCAUGGAGCUUUACUCCAGUUUGAUACUGGGAUUCGGUACUGCAUGUACAGGAUAGGUGGGAGACGAAGAAGGAUGGACGCCAGUCUGUCCGGAGUCGCUGUUGGGAUACCACCCCUGUAGUACUGGGUUUCUAACCAGUUACCAUGAUCUGGUNNNNNNNNNNGUCCGGAGUCGCUGUUGGGAUACCACCCCUGUAGUACUGGGUUUCUAACCAGUUGCCAUGAACUGGCAAUGGGACAAUGUCAGGCGGGGAGUUUGACUGGGGCGGUCGCCUCCGAAAGGGUAUCGGAGGCGCUCAAAGGUUCCCUCAGAAUGGUUGGAAACCAUUUGAAGAGUGCAAAGGCAGAAGGGAGCUUGACUGCGACACCGACGGGUGGAGCAGGUACGAAAGUAGGACUUAGUGAUCCGGUGGUAUAAAGUGGGAUUGCCAUCGCUCAACGGAUAAAAGCUACCCUGGGGAUAACAGGCUUAUCACUCCCAAGAGUUCACAUCGACGGAGUGGUUUGGCACCUCGAUGUCGGCUCAUCGCAUCCUGGGGCUGUAGCAGGUCCCAAGGGUUGGGCUGUUCGCCCAUUAAAGCGGUACGCGAGCUGGGUUCAGAACGUCGUGAGACAGUUCGGUCCCUAUCCGGCGCGGGCGGAGGAUAUUUGAGAGGAGCUGUCCUUAGUACGAGAGGACCGGGAUGGACGGACCACUGGUGUAUCUGUUGUCGACCAACGGCAUGGCAGAGUAGCCAAGUCUGGAAGGGAUAAACGCUGAAGGCAUCUAAGCGUGAAGCCCCCCUCAAGAUGAGAUAUCCCUCCUUCGGGAGUAAGACCCCUUGAAGACUACAAGGUAGAUAGGGCAGAGGUGGAAGCAUGGCAACAUGUGGAGCUGACUGUUACUAAUAGGUCGAAGGCUUAAUCU
rnacentral:rRNA from 1 species